GCCUAACACAUGCAAGUCGAACGCGAAAGGGGCUUCGGCCCUGAGUAGAGUGGCGAACGGGUGAGUAACACGUGGGUGAUCUACCUCUAAGUGGGGGAUAACGUUCCGAAAGGAGCGCUAAUACCGCAUGACGUUCCGGGUUUGAAGACCUGGAAACCAAAGUCGGGGACCGCAAGGCCUGACGCUUGGAGAGGAGCCCGCGCCUGAUUAGCUAGUUGGUGGGGUAAUGGCUCACCAAGGCGACGAUCAGUAGCCGGCCUGAGAGGGCGGACGGCCACACUGGGACUGAGACACGGCCCAGACUCCUACGGGAGGCAGCAGUGGGGAAUUGUUCGCAAUGGGCGCAAGCCUGACGACGCAACGCCGCGUGGAGGAUGAAGGUCUUCGGAUUGUAAACUCCUGUUGACCGGGAAGAAUGGACUUCGACUUAACACGUCGGAGUAAUGACGGUACCGGUUGAGGAAGCCACGGCUAACUCUGUGCCAGCAGCCGCGGUAAUACAGAGGUGGCAAGCGUUGUUCGGAAUUACUGGGCGUAAAGGGCGCGUAGGCGGCCGCCUAAGUCAGACGUGAAAUCCCCAAGCUUAACUUGGGAACUGCGUCUGAUACUGGGUGGCUCGAGUUCGGGAGAGGAAUGUGGAAUUCCAGGGUAGCGGUGAAAUGCGUAGAUAUCUGGAGGAACACCGGUGGCGAAGGCGGCAUUCUGGACCGAAACUGACGCUGAUGCGCGAAAGCCAGGGAGCAAACGGGAUUAGAUACCCCGGUAGUCCUGCCCUAAAACGAUGAGUGCUUGGUGUGGUGGGUAUCGAUCCUGCCGUGCCGAAGCUAACGCAUUAAGCACUCCGCCUGGGGAGCACGGUCGCAAGGCUGAAACUCAAAAGAAUUGACGGGGGCCCGCACAAGCGGUGGAGCAUGUGGUUCAAUUCGACGCAACGCGAAGAACCUUACCUGGGCUCGAAAUGCGGUUGACAUCCGGCGAAAGCCGGCUCCCGCAAGGGCAAUUGUAUAGGUGCUGCAUGGCUGUCGUCAGCUCGUGUCGUGAGAUGUUGGGUUAAGUCCCGCAACGAGCGCAACCCUCGUCCUCUGUUGCCAUCAG
rnacentral:rRNA from 1 species